rnacentral:tRNA from 1 species
GAAAAGUUAGUUAAUACAUAACAUAAAAUUGUCAAUUUUAAAUUACUAAAAUAUUAGUACUUAUCG